GAAGCUGACCAGACAGUCGCCGCUUCGUCGUCGUCCUCUUUCGGGGGGAGACGGGCGGAGGGGAGGAAAGUCCGGGCUCCAUAGGGCAAGGUGCCAGGUAACGCCUGGGGGGUGUCACAGCCCACGACCAGUGCAACAGAGAGCAAACCGCCGAUGGCCCGCGCAAGCGGGAUCAGGUAAGGGUGAAAGGGUGCGGUAAGAGCGCACCGCGCGGCUGGU
rnacentral:RNase_P_RNA from 1 species